GUCAGUUAAGAACAAAUUCUUAUUUUCAAUGACAGCCUGGGAACAGUGGGUUAACUGCCUGUUCAGGGGCAGAACGACAGCUCGGGGGUUUGAACUUGCAACCUUUCGGUUACUAGUCCACCGCUCGUACCACUAGGCUACCCUGCCACCCCAUAUGAAACAUCUUUGAUUCUAUAUUGUCAGUAGGAGGAGCUAGAGUAUAAAACUCAGGAUUAGAUCAUGAAUCCUCAAGAUAAAAGAAGAUAAGACAUGAUACUACCAUGAAGAUCAUAGCCAGUUGAUGCUGUGCUUUUCAUCAGCAGCUGGUGCUUAUUCUACACAUCCUGCCAUUUACAAUGUUGUUCUGUUCAUUAUUACUCUUCUUUGACUUGAUAGGUGUCAGUUCUGAACAGGAAUUAACACCCUACAGUGAUGUAGAAGUGGCUUCAGAAAGGGACAGAGUUACUCUCUCUUGUAACUACACCUCUGGUGACACUCUUCAAUGGUAUCGACAGUAUCCCAAAUCAGCACCACAGUUACUGGUUAAGGAGUAUGCAGAUAUUACACCAGGGUUCACUCUAAAUCAUAACAAAAAUGCCAAACGUACGGAUCUGAAGAUCUCCUCCGCUGAAGUGGCAGACUCUGCUAUGUACUUCUGUGCUCUGAGGCCCACAGUGACAGGAAACCCAUAAACACUGUACAAAAACCUAACAUUGCCUGAGAGAGUAUUUAAACUCUGUAGUUCAAGGUUUUAUUUGACAAUAAUGCCAUCAAGUGGAGUCAACAUGCACCCAUUAUAUUGUGUCAAGAGGAGGAACAUAGUGUUAUACAUAACAUGUCAUGAGUGGAACUGAUUCACCCAGAGAGUGAAUGUUCCAAGAGAAGAUCAUUAGAUCAGUCUCUGUCUAACACCCAGUGACUAUGAUGCUGCUCUAUUCAGUCUUUAUUAUGUGCACUUGUAUGUAAGGAUUCACUCUCCAUUUACCGAAUGUGUACUAACAGAAUGUACACUGUUAAGUAUUCAUUACAAUAUGGUAUUAUCAAUAUCAAGAGGUAAUACACUUUGAAAC
ensembl:lncRNA